UACGUAGGGUGCAAGCGUUGUCCGGAAUUAUUGGGCGUAAAGAGCUCGUAGGCGGUUCGUCGCGUCGGCUGUGAAAUCCCGAGGCUCAACCUCGGGUCUGCAGUCGAUACGGGCGGACUGGAGUACUGCAGGGGGAGACUGGAAUUCCUGGUGUAGCGGUGAAAUGCGCAGAUAUCUGGAGGAACACCGGUGGCGAAGGCGGCAUCCUGGACCAACACUGACACUGAGGAGCGAAAGCCAGGGGAGCAA
rnacentral:rRNA from 1 species